GGUUUGAUAGCUCAGCUGGGAGAGCGUGCGAGUGAAGAUCUAGAAGACUCAUUCGCAAGGCCGCUGGUUCAACCCCUGCUCGAACCA